AUACAAAAGAGAAAUUAAUUUACAAGAGUAGUAUUAAUAGAGAAGUAGAUGAUCUUUUGUGUUCUAGCUAGCUACAUAAUCAUAUUUGCCAUAAUGGGAUUCUAAAAAUGUGUAUUAUCUUAAUCAGCUUGGCGUCUGAGCUCCAAAUUCACAGGUUGUUCCCUUGCCCUUGGAAAGAAUUAGCAGUUAACCAUGCUCUUCACAUAUUCAUCAAGUUAAAAUGAUAUUCUUUCUAAUCAACCAGGAGAUAUUGACAAUCAUUCAAAACCCAUGUAGAGCCAAACGGCUUGAAAAAUCUCAACUUCAUUAAUAAAUUCUUUAAAAAAAAAAAAACAAUGAUGGCAGUAGUUAUCAAUAAGCAAAUAACCACAAUUCUUUAGUUAUCACUAAGCAAAUAACCACAAUUCUUAUACCCAGUAAUUGUCCCAAAUUGGUGUUUUGCAGUGAAAUUGUCGCUAAGCAAAAAACAAUGAAUGCGGAAACACAAAGGCUGAAACUAACAGGUGAGGAAAUCAGGCUUGCAAAGAUUCGAUUACAAAUCAGGAUUAUUCCAAACUUACCUGGUUACUCAAAAAUAUAUGAGAUAAAAGUAAAUUAGCAGGAAAUUUCAAUUCAAAUUUAAACAUGUAAACUAUAUAGCAUCUGAAAACUUUGAUUUUCAAGACUAAGAACAGAUGAAGCAACAGAUCUAUAAAUUGUAAAUCAACUCGUACCAUAUCAAUGUUGAAUUCUUACACUGUAAUCUACCCAAUAGAGCAUGCUACGCUACCCAAAUCACUGCAAACCCAAAUCGCUGCAAACCCAAAAACCCUUUUGAGUAGAAGGAAAAGAAAAGGAAUAAGGAUAGUACUCAACUAAGUACUGACCAAACUCCAAAGAUAAGGAUAUUACUGUGUUGGACAGAAUAGAGAAGAAAACAAACAAGAAGAGAGAGGAGAAAAUUACCUAUAAAAUGAUUAGCUCAUAUCAGGUAUCUAGAGGCAUUAUCGAUGACCAAGGAAGUCUCCGGAUUGGAGCGUCAGCCACGGGGAGUCGUCUCUGGAGGUUGUGAUAUCGUAGACAACAUAGAGGUAUCAUCGGGUGAAGUCUGGAUAAUUCCCAACCGACCGAAGAAGAU
rnacentral:misc_RNA from 1 species